rnacentral:rRNA from 1 species
GGUUAAGCGACUAAGCGUACACGGUGGAUGCCCUGGCAGUCAGAGGCGAUGAAGGACGUGCUAAUCUGCGAUAAGCGCCGGUAAGGUGAUAUGAACCGUUAUAACCGGCGAUUUCCGAAUGGGGAAACCCAGUGUGAUUCGUCACACUAUCAUUAACUGAAUCCAUAGGUUAAUGAGGCGAACCGGGGGAACUGAAACAUCUAAGUACCCCGAGGAAAAGAAAUCAACCGAGAUUCCCCCAGUAGCGGCGAGCGAACGGGGAGGAGCCCAGAGCCUGAAUCAGCAUGUGUGUUAGUGGAAGCGUCUGGAAAGGUGCGCGAUACAGGGUGACAGCCCCGUACACAAAAGCGCAUGUGCUGUGAGCUCGAUGAGUAGGGCGGGACACGUGGUAUCCUGUCUGAAUAUGGGGGGACCAUCCUCCAAGGCUAAAUACUCCUGACUGACCGAUAGUGAACCAGUACCGUGAGGGAAAGGCGAAAAGAACCCCGGCGAGGGGAGUGAAAAAGAACCUGAAACCGUGUACGUACAAGCAGUGGGAGCACAGGUUUACCUGUGUGACUGCGUACCUUUUGUAUAAUGGGUCAGCGACUUAUAUUCUGUAGCAAGGUUAACCGUAUAGGGGAGCCGGAGGGAAACCGAGUCUUAACCGGGCGUUAAGUUGCAGGGUAUAGACCCGAAACCCGGUGAUCUAGCCAUGGGCAGGUUGAAGGUUGGGUAACACUAACUGGAGGACCGAACCGACUAAUGUUGAAAAAUUAGCGGAUGACCUGUGGCUGGGGGUGAAAGGCCAAUCAAACCGGGAGAUAGCUGGUUCUCCCCGAAAGCUAUUUAGGUAGCGCCUCGUGAAUUCAUCUCCGGGGGUAGAGCACUGUUUCGGCUAGGGGGCCAUCCCGGCUUACCAACCCGAUGCAAACUGCGAAUACCGGAGAAUGUUAUCACGGGAGACACACGGCGGGUGCUAACGUCCGUCGUGAAGAGGGAAACAACCCAGACCGCCAGCUAAGGUCCCAAAGUCAUGGUUAAGUGGGAAACGAUGUGGGAAGGCCCAGACAGCCAGGAUGUUGGCUUAGAAGCAGCCAUCAUUUAAAGAAAGCGUAAUAGCUCACUGGUCGAGUCGGCCUGCGCGGAAGAUGUAACGGGGCUAAACCAUGCACCGAAGCUGCGGCAGCGACGCUGAUGCGUUGUUGGGUAGGGGAGCGUUCUGUAAGCCUGCGAAGGUGACCUGUGAGGGUUGCUGGAGGUAUCAGAAGUGCGAAUGCUGACAUAAGUAACGAUAAAGCGGGUGAAAAGCCCGCUCGCCGGAAGACCAAGGGUUCCUGUCCAACGUUAAUCGGGGCAGGGUGAGUCGACCCCUAAGGCGAGGCCGAAAGGCGUAGUCGAUGGGAAACGGGUUAAUAUUCCCGUACUUGGUGUUACUGCGAAGGGGGGACGGAGAAGGCUAUGUUGGCCGGGCGACGGUUGUCCCGGUUUAAGCGUGUAGGUGUGUGUUCCAGGUAAAUCCGGUUCACUUUAACACUGAGGCGUGACGACGAGGCACUACGGUGCUGAAGCAACAAAUGCCCUGCUUCCAGGAAAAGCCUCUAAGCAUCAGGUAACACGAAAUCGUACCCCAAACCGACACAGGUGGUCAGGUAGAGAAUACCAAGGCGCUUGAGAGAACUCGGGUGAAGGAACUAGGCAAAAUGGUGCCGUAACUUCGGGAGAAGGCACGCUGACACGUAGGUGAAGUGAUUUACUCAUGGAGCUGAAGUCAGUCGAAGAUACCAGCUGGCUGCAACUGUUUAUUAAAAACACAGCACUGUGCAAACACGAAAGUGGACGUAUACGGUGUGACGCCUGCCCGGUGCCGGAAGGUUAAUUGAUGGGGUCAGCGCAAGCGAAGCUCCUGAUCGAAGCCCCGGUAAACGGCGGCCGUAACUAUAACGGUCCUAAGGUAGCGAAAUUCCUUGUCGGGUAAGUUCCGACCUGCACGAAUGGCGUAAUGAUGGCCAGGCUGUCUCCACCCGAGACUCAGUGAAAUUGAACUCGCUGUGAAGAUGCAGUGUACCCGCGGCAAGACGGAAAGACCCCGUGAACCUUUACUAUAGCUUGACACUGAACAUUGAGCCUUGAUGUGUAGGAUAGGUGGGAGGCUUUGAAGUGUGGACGCCAGUCUGCAUGGAGCCGACCUUGAAAUACCACCCUUUAAUGUUUGAUGUUCUAACGUGGACCCGUAAUCCGGGUUGCGGACAGUGUCUGGUGGGUAGUUUGACUGGGGCGGUCUCCUCCUAAAGAGUAACGGAGGAGCACGAAGGUUGGCUAAUCCUGGUCGGACAUCAGGAGGUUAGUGCAAUGGCAUAAGCCAGCUUGACUGCGAGCGUGACGGCGCGAGCAGGUGCGAAAGCAGGUCAUAGUGAUCCGGUGGUUCUGAAUGGAAGGGCCAUCGCUCAACGGAUAAAAGGUACUCCGGGGAUAACAGGCUGAUACCGCCCAAGAGUUCAUAUCGACGGCGGUGUUUGGCACCUCGAUGUCGGCUCAUCACAUCCUGGGGCUGAAGUAGGUCCCAAGGGUAUGGCUGUUCGCCAUUUAAAGUGGUACGCGAGCUGGGUUUAGAACGUCGUGAGACAGUUCGGUCCCUAUCUGCCGUGGGCGCUGGAGAACUGAGGGGGGCUGCUCCUAGUACGAGAGGACCGGAGUGGACGCAUCACUGGUGUUCGGGUUGUCAUGCCAAUGGCACUGCCCGGUAGCUAAAUGCGGAAGAGAUAAGUGCUGAAAGCAUCUAAGCACGAAACUUGCCCCGAGAUGAGUUCUCCCUGAGACUUAGAGUCUCCUGAAGGAACGUUGAAGACGACGACGUUGAUAGGCCGGGUGUGUAAGCGCAGCGAUGCGUUGAGCUAACCGGUACUAAUGAACCGUGAGGCUUAACCUU